GAUGAACGCUGGCGGCGUGCUUAACACAUGCAAGUCGAACGAAGCGCUUUUAUUUGAUUUCUUCGGAAUGAAGAUUUUAGUGACUGAGUGGCGGACGGGUGAGUAACGCGUGGGUAACCUGCCUCAUACAGGGGGAUAACAGUUAGAAAUGACUGCUAAUACCGCAUAAGACCACAGUACCGCAUGGUACAGGGGUAAAAACUCCGGUGGUAUGAGAUGGACCCGCGUCUGAUUAGGUAAUUGGUGGGGUAACGGCCUACCAAGCCGACGAUCAGUAGCCGGCCUGAGAGGGUGACCGGCCACAGUGGGACUGAAACACGGCCCAAACUCCUACGGGAGGCAGCAGUGGGGAAUAGUGCACAAUGGGGGAAACCCUGAUGCAGCGACGCCGCGUGAGCGAUGAAGUAUUUCGGUAUGUAAAGCUCUAUCAGCAGGGAAGAAAAUGACGGUACCUGACUAAGAAGCACCGGCUAAAUACGUGCCAGCAGCCGCGGUAA
rnacentral:rRNA from 1 species